rnacentral:rRNA from 1 species
GACGAGGGGUCCUAGCGUUGUUCGGAAUCACUGGGCGUAAAGCGUAUGUAGGCGGGCUUUUAAGUCAGGUGUGAAAUCCCAUGGCUCAACCAUGGAAUUGCAUUUGAAACUGGAAGUCUUGAGUGUGGGAGAGAUUGGUAGAAUACCUGGUGUAGUGGUGAAAUACGUAGAUAUCAGGUGGAAUACCGGUGGCGAAGGCGGCCAAUUGGCCCAACACUGACGCUGAGGAGCGAAAGCGUGGGGAGCGAACAGG